GACGAACGCUGGCGGCGUGCUUAACACAUGCAAGUCGAACGGGGAUAAAUUGGAUGAGAGCUUCGGCAGGAAUUUGAUUUAUCCUAGUGGCGGACGGGUGAGUAACGCGUGAGCAACCUGUCCCAGACAGGGGGAUAACACUUGGAAACAGGUGCUAAUACCGCAUAAGACCACGGGAUCACAUGGUUCUGAGGUAAAAGGUGUAAACCGGUUUGGGGUGGGCUCGCGUCCGAUUAGAUAGUUGGUGAGGUAACGGCCCACCAAGUCGACGAUCGGUAGCCGACCUGAGAGGGUGAUCGGCCACAUUGGAACUGAGAGACGGUCCAA
rnacentral:rRNA from 1 species